GACGAACGCUGGCGGCGUGCCUAAUACAUGCAAGUAGAACGCUGAAGAGAGGAGCUUGCUCUUCUUGGAUGAGUUGCGAACGGGUGAGUAACGCGUAGGUAACCUGCCUUGUAGCGGGGGAUAACUAUUGGAAACGAUAGCUAAUACCGCAUAACAAUGGAUGACACAUGUCAUUUAUUUGAAAGGGGCAAUUGCUCCACUACAAGAUGGACCGGCGUUGUAUUAGCUAGUAGGUGAGGUAAUGGCUCACCUAGGCGACGAUACAUAGCCGACCUGAGAGGGUGAUCGGCCACACUGGGACUGAGACACGGCCCAGACUCCUACGGGAGGCAGCAGUAGGGAAUCUUCGGCAAUGGGGGCAACCCUGACCGAGCAACGCCGCGUGAGUGAAGAAGGUUUUCGGAUCGUAAAGCUCUGUUGUAAGUCAAGAACGGGUGUGAGAGUGGAAAGUUCACACUGUGACGGUAGCUUACCAGAAAGGGACGGCUAACUACGUG
rnacentral:rRNA from 1 species